GAGACAGCACUAUUCUGCCUUAUUUAACUGUGUAAAAAGUGAACCCUAUGGUUUUGUAAACAUUGCUAAGAGUGAUGCAGUUAUAAUAACUCCUAGUGAAGUCCAGCAGGUUAUAUCGUACUUGUGUGAGAAUGAGGCAACAGGUUCUGAUAGCAUUACAGCAGAACAUCUGAAAUAAGUGGCUGUGCUGCUUGCAAUGUGUUUCUCUGGGUUUAUGACCCAUGGGCAGUUGCCUAAUUCCUUAUCAUCUGUUACUCUUGUGCCGGUAAUUAAGGACAAAACUAGUAAGGUUAUUAGCCUUAAUAACUACAGACCAAUAGCUUUAGUUAAAGUGAUAUAUAAAGUAUUAGAAAAAUAUCUUGCUUGGUAGGCUCAAUCAGUUUAUUAUUACAACAGAUAAUCAAUUUGGUUUCAAAGCCAAGUUGGGAACUGAUCUCUGUAUUUAUGGCCAGAAAGAGCAUAUCUAAGAAAAAAUUAAUCUUUGUUAUUUGGUUUAUUGAUGCCUCUAAGGCCUUUCAUCGUGUCAAUCACUGCAAGUUAUCUGACAAAUUAAAACAGAGAGGUGUUCCAGAUAUUAUUAUACGAAUUUUGGUUUACUGGUAUUCUAACCAGAAAAUGCAUGUAAAAUGGGGCAAUAACAUCUCUGCUUCCUUUGGUGCCCUAACACUUAC